rnacentral:lncRNA from 10 species
UGCUCUGUAGGGGAUCGCUAGGAGGGCACUACGUAGCAAGAACUGGAAAAACCUCUGGAACGUGUGGAUGCAGAAACCCUAAGUGAUGGGGGCUUCAGAGACUGAAAAGUAGGUUUGUAAUUUUUCAUAGGAGCAUCUACAUUUGUCAGGUAAGAAUGGGUUACAUUGCACCCUCAAAUAACUUGCAAAGGUCUUCAGAUUAACACCACAAAAGUUUAAUUCUCAUUCAUGCCAAAUCUACUCCCCUCUUCAGGGUCAUAGCUCAGCUAUCCAGGUGGCUUUGGUUUUGUGGCUCCACUUUCUCAACAUGAAACUCCAAUAGAGGAAGAAGGAAACAUGUGACCUGGAGAGUUGAAGUGGGUAUUGGAGACUGCUGCAUCAGCAGGGAAAUGCUUUAUAUCCUCAAAUGACAUGUGCUUCUCCUGACAGCUCAUUGACCAGAAUUAGCAACAUGGCCCUUCCUAACUAGAAGGGACCAGAAUGGAUAGUCCUUCUAUGUGUCCAGAAGGAGAGAAGGACCAGAUAUGUGUGAUCAUGUCUCCAUUAUGGGAGAAAAGAGAAUUGAAAAAGAAAGAAGAUCCACAUAGUGUCUGAGGAGCUGAGACAAAAGAAAAGAGUUGUUAUGGGGCUCUGAUUAGAAUAUAGAGCAAAUCACAGAGCCUCCUGCUAACAGGUGUGCAGACAAGCGCUAAGAUGAAAUGGGCCAAAUACGAGAGUCAGGAAACUUGUGUGCUGGUUUUACCUGUGACAUAAACCAGCAGUAUGAAUUUGGGUAAGUUCCUUAUCUCUCUGGAUUUAAAUAUCUUUAACUUAAAAUUUGGGGAUUUGACUGGGUCUGUUAAUGUCUUUGUAGUCAUUAGACCGCUUUAAGAGACUGAGGAAAGCUAGGUACUUUUACUGCCCUCCUCAAUGUCCGGAAGUUCGUAAUUUCCCUACAAGUCUACCUCCAGAUAUCAGGAUAAGAACUCCUGGUUUAGAUCAUCUUCAAGGUGAUAUCCGACUCUUCAACUGAUUGAAAAGAGGGGCUGCAUUCUCAGUUGGAAAAGACAAUUCUGUGUAUCAAGCAGAUGUGCGUCUUUCUUUGGUUUAAAUCUCUUUCCCAGAAAUAUCAUGCAUGUUUCUCAUUAUCUCCUUCCUCUGGACUACUUCUCUUUUCUUCUUUUUUUCCCUCUACCACCUCAUCAUUCCUCCGCUACGGGUAGUCAAGUAUGGAUGUGAUUGAAGUUGGGUUUCCAUCUGUGUUAGCGGCAGGAAGUGUUACUAUCAUGGAAAUAGUUGGGACAUAUAUCAUCUCUUAUCUGCACCUCCAAGAACUUAAAUGAUUUCUUUCCCCCAACCAAAAUAAAUCAAAGGAGAGGAAUCUUAAUUAUAGUCACCAGGUGGUGAAUUUAAUACAUCCACAUGAGUCUCUGUGCUGGCAGUGUUGUCAGAUGAGCUUGUCUCUCCAGGCAGGAGGAUAAUGGGAUUGUGAGAGUCUGGAGAGGAAGAACUCUGGGGAUUAUAACAGCAGCUCCCUGGUGGCAAGGAAACAGCCAGGCAAGUUCUGUUAAAUAUAAAGGCCAGGGAAACAUUGCCUCAUGUCAGGGUGUCAGGGUUGUCUCCACUCAUGCUCUAUCGUGAAUGGUUUCAGCAAGGGAUUCAUAGGAGCUUCUCACAUAGGCAUUGCCCACCCAAGUCUGAGAUGGGGGCUACACAUCAAUAAUUUCCCCCCAUCUAUCAGUUUGAAGCAGUGGACAAAGCUCUAACUUGGACCACAGAGUGAUCUGGACUUAUAUCUACUCUUACAGUUAAUUGUUAAAGUUUUUCAAUUGAUGAAUAUUUAUUGGAUGCCUAGUACAUGCUAGACACUGUUCUAAAUAGCAUGGAUAUAUC